AAAGUCGUAACAAGGUCUCCGUUGGUGAACCAGCGGAGGGAUCAUUACAGAGAAUCUCUUCUCGAACACAACCAUCGCGAACGUUACCACCGACCGUUGCCUCGGCGUCGGGCGCCCCUGUGGUGCCCCCGCCGGGGGGACGCAAGCAAACUCUUAGCAGUCAUUGGCCUCUCUGAGUAUGAUUUUAAACAAGUCAAAACUUUCAACAACGGAUCUCUUGGUUCUG
rnacentral:misc_RNA from 1 species